CUCCUCCUCUCACUUGAAAGAUUUUGCAGGAGAGAAAAGGACUGGUAACACAGAGCUAGUUCUCUGAAUACUGCAGCAGUUGCUUCUGCAUGUGUGAUGUGGCAGUGCGGUUGGUGUGUGGCAAACAGCAAGCAAAACUAGUUUCAGCAUUCAGUGUGGUACACUUAAGGCAAUGUUCAGUGUUGGUGCACAUAAGAAGAGACAAGAUAAGACAAUACAAUGGAUAAACAACAUAGGAAAACAACAAUAUGACAUAUUUUAAAUUCUAAAUAAACUUAACUUAUACAUACCUUACCUCUUAGGCCAUGUGAAAUCAAUACAUUGUAGGGAUGUACAACAGCCAGGAGAAGCAAGAAAGUUGUCAGCCUCUGUGCAUGUCAUUCUGAAGUCACACUCAGAAACAAGCUUCAUCUGACUGACAUCAACAUGUGACUCGUAAGCUAAUAAUUUAUAACUGUAAUGUAUGUUAUUUGUACAGUAAGAAAUUAAUAAAACAAACAAUAAUAGUAAAAUGGAUAUAUUUCCUGUGUGUGAAUUUAAUCCCUCAUGCACUGCAGAUCAAAUACAUGAUAGUAUGUAAGAAUAAACUGGUACAAGAUGAAAUGUAUAUUCUAGCAGCAAAAAUGAGACAGAUUUACAUAAUUUUAACUUCUUCUGGGGACUAAUAUGCAUGAUAAAUUAUGAUGCCUGUGGCAAUAUGCCAUAACUGACAUGAAGCCAAGUUGACUUUAAUGUCCCCAUGUCAAGCUCAUUCCAAAAUACCACGACACACAGUUAAGUGAACCGAACUGCUUAUAACGUAAUGACUCACAAAGUCUCUCCAUCAGGCAAACAAAGUUGGCAGGAGGGGAGGACGGGGAAAAGUCUAAAGAGGAGGAGCUAGCAUGUGACUCAGAACUACAUGGCCUGCCAGAAUGCCUACAGAAAAUGACACCCUUUAAACACAUUCUAAAUAAACCAAGAUGUGAUUCAUUCUUACACAAAUGUAGUUUCUUAAGAGUACAGAGACACCAGUGCAUACUAACAGUACAUUCAAGAAUGCCAUAUAUAACAUCACAAACUACUAUUAAAUUGACUGGAUUUUCUACCACAUUUCUGUAUGAAACUGACCCAUAUUUUGAAAUAGACCAAUUUUUAUUCUGAUAAGCCUCACCUAUCUUUUGAUUCCAAAGCUCUUCCUGCUGAAAUUAAAUCUAUUACAGAAUGACAUGGUUCAGCCUUUGAAAAUCAAAGUGUGACCUAUGAUAUCAUGUAUCCAUAUAUAACAGCAUGAAAACAAUAAUUUAUGGGCUUUGUAACCUCACAUUUCAACCAGUGUAGUUAUAACAUAAUAUACUGUGGAAAUAAUAAAGUUAAGGGGCGACAAACAUGUUUAUAUCAUGUAUAAAUACAGAUAUAAAAGUAAUUCCAAGGUUUUAAUACUUUAUAUAACUUCACUAAUUUUGCAGUUAUUAUUCGCCAACAGAGACCCUACCAGUAAAAGAAUUACUUGUGUCUUUAAGAAGUCUAUAUACAUAAGUAUGAAACAAAGACUAUCUUAUGAGGGAGCCAUGUCAGUUUGUUUGUAUGUCUGCCUAGUUAUGAGUUUCCUUUUCCACAUUACAUGGUAAAUCUUGAAGAAAUUAGGUAUGGCAAGCCUGCACUAGAAAUUAUCUUAAAUACAGAAAUUUGGUUAUGAGUUACAAGCCCCAGUAAGAUAGUCUCUUUGCAUAAUAAAACAUUUUUUUUUAAUAUUUUAUAAUAUUCAGCUUCAGGAAAGAGAAUGUCAAUGGACACUAUACACCUGAAUUUUUCAUUCUUACUAAUAAAUAUGAGUCAUAUGAAAGAAAGUUUCCCACAUGUCAGAUGUGAACACCUCAUGGUAGAAGUUUAAAUUAUGGAUCUACUGCUGACUUGUCUACUAAUUUCUCUGAUGAAAUUAAUUAUUUUGAUGUAUUCCUGAAUUUGAGUCACAUUACUGUAUAACAAUAUUUACCUCUUAAGACAAAAUUCAAUUCCUAUUGAAACUACAGCCAAAAAAUCUUGCACAAAUUCAAAACAAAUUUUACAAAUUGGAAUUAAACCCAUGGCUUUUAUAGGCAUAUUUAAGAAGUGACUGUAUAUUUACAUCUAAUCUGUAACCAGCUGGUUUUUAUUUCCCAUACUUCAGAUAUAAGUUUCUGAAUAUAAAUACUAAGAUACUGAUGAAGUGGAUAUAAAACAGAGAUACUGAGGCUAGAUGUCCUUUCAAAUACUCCAUACAGGGGAGGAGGGAGAGAUAAAAAUAACUUAUCUCAACAUUCACAGUGAACCAUACAAAGUUCUCCUCUUAUACCUAAAUUUUGGCAGGACAAACCAAUAUUCUUUUAUUCCCCAUAUUCUGAGCAAGGAGGACAUCCUCAUAUUUUCACGUGUAUAUUUAUAUGAAAAACUGAACCAUAUGAAAUUGGUGGGGGAAACUGUCCACAGAAAAACUGACAGCUCAAUGACUUUUUCAGUUAACAAAUCAGUAUACAUUGCAUGUUUAAAAAGAAAAAUCUGCAGUAGACAGCAAGAAAUAUUUUAUAUAUUUCUUCCAACACCGCUUGGUAAAUGGAAAAGUCCUUCCAUUUCACACAAUAAAGUUUGUGAUAAAUUAAAUUAUUUAUUUAUUUACCCUUUUAAUGGAACUUCAUUAAACACACAACAAAUAAUUAAAAGUUUUUCUGAAUAUCCUAGCUUCAUGACUGAAAUCUCAUAUCCAAAAUUUUUGGAGGGUGCUGUAGUAUACAUAUAUAAUUUCAUUAUCUGGAAGAAUAAAACAGAAACCAUGUUCUAAAAACUUCAAUUUAUUGAAAGAGUCAAAAACUAUCUUACACCCAAUUAAUAUCUGCCAUCAAACAAUUUCACAAAGUGUUAAAAGAACUGUUUAAUUCGUAAGGAAAUGCAUAAUGGCAUUCUAGAAUUGUCUUUCCCUGAAACGCAUGCUACACAAAAUUAAAUCCAGUCUGAGAUCUCUCUCAAAUGGUUAAAUGGUCCUGUUUUUGAGUUCUGAUCCAGGCAAUUAAAAGUGUUCAAAAGUUCAUUGGAUAUUGUGCAGGAUGUUUUUAGCUAGAUUCAACAGGAAUAUCAUUUAUAAGAUAUGAAUUUUCAGUUGUAAUCCCUAUGAUAAAUGUAAGGACUUCCUUAUUUGCGAAGUCAAUUUAUAAUAAUUAGAAAACAGUCAUGAAUCUUGUCAUAAGUUUUCAUUCAGAAUGUAAGUUUGGCUCAGUUUUAGAUAAACAUGUCUUCCAUGCCAGGACUGUGCAAGGAAGGGAAAUUAUGACAGAAUGUCAGAAUUCAUAAAUAACCAGAUAAUACAGAACAAACUUGAAAGAAUACAUGAACACAAUAAGCUCUGAGAGAAUUCAAAAAAAAAAAAAAAGACUUCAAGAUAUCAACCAAAAAGUAGUAACAGUGUGGGGAGUCCUAUGAAAUGACAGAAGGAUUCUAUUAUGUAAUAUUCAUCUCAAUUGGUCAAAUAUUGAUGAUGAUGGUGGUGGUGGUGGUGGUGAUGAUGAUCUACACAAUUUUUAUUUUACUAAUUAGUACUCUUAAUUACAUACAUGAAAGUCAAACAGUCGUGUAUUAAUCUCAGCUGCAAGUUUACUGUAUAACUGUUGUGAAAAAUGUCUGUUUCUACAGUGCAUGAUUUGUUUUACUGUCUGUCAUCAUCUCUACCACAAUCGAUAGAUUGAUUUAUGACUGGUGGUCAUGGUGGUGGUGGUGGUGGUGGUGGUGAUGAUGAUGAUGAUUAUGAUAAUGAUGACUGAACUACAGAAGUUAGAAAAAUAUCUAUAUCAUUAAAGUGCAAAUACUUAAAAUAUAUCAUGAACUCAUGCAGUUGAGAUUCUGCCACCUUUCUUUGCUCAAGAAAUUGUUAGUGGAUGCAAAAAUAUCACCAAGAUUAUGUAGCUGAUAAGAUCUGAAUCAAUCAACUGCUAUUGCUAUAUGUGUAUAAAUGCCUAAGAAAAACGAACUAGCAGCAGCAAGCAGCAGUGACUUAUGUAAACAGAGAUACUCCUCAUUUUUAGACCCUUAAACCUGUGCAACAAAUUAUAACACACAGUUGAUAAGUAUAUAAUUUUACUAUUCUACAUGAAUUUUUUAAACCUUCCUGUACUGUAAUCAGUGACCACUUUAAUGAAUGAUAAGUCAAACUUCAAUGUUAUGCUUCUCUUUGAGGCCAGAAAGAUACAGGAUAAAAUACACACAAAUAUUUCUGCUAACUAUCCCUCCAGCUUUACCAUUUUUAAAUACUACUUGAUACUGUCACCCUAUAUUCAGGCAAUUAAAAAUUCAACAUUAAUUAAUUAAUUAAUUAAUGUCACCCUAUAUUCAGGCAAUUAAAAAUUCGUAUGAUUUGUGGUGGAGAACAUGGAAAUGAGAACCUGUUUUCCUCUAAUCAUCGACGCACAAGUGCUCACAGACAUCUAUAAUCGUCACUGAGAUGUAUGACAGAUCUAACAAAUCAGCAUGCUAUCACAGCAUCAGUCUUCAAUUAUGAUCUUAUGUCUGACCUGGUACUUGGAAUAUGAAAAUUCAAGUUGGUAAGUUAACACAAUACAUGAUGGUGAUACAUAACAAUUUUCUCUGCUAUGGGAGUUUUUAUUUUCAUUUCAUUUUUAUUAUGAUAGUAAAAUUAUUUUGUCUAAGUAGACUAGAACACACUGCUGAGGUGCUGUAUAUAUAUGCUUCCCCAACAAAUUCUUCAGCAAUAUUAAAGUGGCAAAUAUAUUUCCCAUGUAUUAUGACAGGCCCAAAAAGUUAAAGAGUGUGGGACAUACCUGCUAUAGACCUAAUUUUUCGAAAAAUAAAUCUGAGAUAUAUUCUUUGUAAAGGUUAAAUUUCAGUGUUCAUUUCAUAAUGGAAGUCAGUGAACAUACAGAAAAGGCAGUAUUUUAAUUACUGACUUCAAAGUAUAACAUUAGCUAAAGCACAACUUAAAAUGUUAUAAGAGUUUUGUUACUUCCAGCAUAAAUUUUUUCACAUUAUUAGCAUUCAGUUUGGACAUAUUUUCUUUCUUACUCACUCACAAAAUUGUCUGGCUCAAUAAAAAGGUUUACAGAUUGAAACCAAAAUUAAAUCAGAACUUCUUAUAGUAGCCCUAAAAAUUAAGAGCAUCAUAAUUCAGAAUAAUAAUCACUUUUCAUUUUACAGAAUUUUCAUGGCAAAACAUUUAGAACAGCCAUGUGUGGUGUUUUGUAUUUAUGUUUAAUGCACAAUACAAAAACCAUAUAUGACAAUUUACAAUUUUAAUGUUUGUUUUUAAUGCUUUUAAAAAUAGCCAAAGUUUGCAAAUCCUAUUCUACAGUAUUGUUGGCAAGCACCUACACUGACAUUGUGAAUAAAAAUAAUGGGCACAUUCCUAUUAUAUUAGUCAAAACAGACAGAGGUAAUUCUAUGUAAUCUUAGAUGAAAAAUGAAUCUUCAUUGCACCCAUUAUACUCCAGUAUCAAAAUAAAAGGAUUUUAAUUAAAAAUUAUAAUCUGCUUGACAUUUAACAUUUUCCAUUCUAAGUUAUGUUUUAUCAAAUCUUUUAUUACCCCUAGCACAUUUCCCUUGUCCCAGCUCUGAGGACAGGAUAUUAUAAGAUGCUGAUUCAUUCCUAGGUAAAGCUAUCAGAUCUCUAGUUCAGUAUCUCUUGAAAUAUAUAUACAAAUCCUGAGAAAUCACCAGUUUAAAAUAUGUGAUUCUAUGUGAUACACAAUAUUUAUUCUUGAGCUUUACUUCACUAUUCAGCAGUGACAAGUUCUGGGUAGCAGCCUUAAUAUGAAAGAGUGGAACAUCAACCAGGACCUGAAAUUUCACUCUUAUGCUUGUCAGACACUAGUGUUAGAUGCAAUGAUGUCUUAAUAGUUUGGAAUGAAAACAUCCACUCCACACUCCUUAUAUAAUCUUUCAGUUGUGAUGGAGAACUGAGGAAAACACAGACUAAGAAAUAAACAGGAUACUUUGCUAUGUUUACCUAUUGAUUCAAUACAUUUUUUCUGGAUCUAACGCCCCAUCUAAGGUUUUUCAUCUGUAUCAGUGCCAUGGUGUCUGAAAAAAAUGGACUAAGACAAUGGGUGCCCAGCAAAGAGGAGAAACUAUAUUGGUAUAUAUAUGCCUCUACAUUUCUUUGCUGUAAGGAUUUGAACUGGGCUGGAGGUAGGAAGGUAGACAGAGCAGCUCUCAUGCAGAUCUCCAAAUUUAGCUGCAAGUAAUGUAACACUAAGCGUGGCAAGAGGUUGAUAAAAAUAACUUGCUCCAUAGCCUUGUAGCUUGUGACAUCAGAGAUUGUGCACACGGAACCAUCCAGCAAUGAAUACGGUAUAGCGAAAGGAAAACAGCUAGGUAUACAAAAAUAUUACAUUGAUUGUGAGAAUCAUGGUGCAGGUAACAAGUAGGAUUACUCGAGCAGGUUCUGAGAAUUUGUUUUUAGAUAUUUUCUUUUGUAUGGGAUGUUUUGAAACAGGCAAGGAAAUGAAAGUCUUGAGUUCUCUUCAGUUAUUCUGAGAAACCCACAAGGUUUUUAAAACCUGAAUAUCAUAGGAUAUGCUUUUGGUUUCAAAUUGUGUCAGUAUUUCUUGUAAUUGCUAUAUUUUAUUGCAGCCUUUAGUAGUUUAUACAUGAACAUAGCAAUAACAAAUAAUGUUAGAGAAACACAGUUUACAGCUGGGGAGUCAUCAAAGUUCUGCCACUAUUGCAAACUGUAAGUUGCAGCAACACAAAGAAUAAAUCACCAAUACUAUCAGUUAGAUACACCACCAGCCUUUAAAGCUGAAUUCAUAGACGAACUGUUUUUCAAUAAAAAAACUUUUUAUGACACACCUGAUUUUAGUAGUUUCCCCAAGUAGAAGGCAAUGAUUAAACACAGCUGUUCCUAUACUACAUCAUAAAAUUAUGACAGAACUCUAUAAGAAUAUUUUAUUCAUUAACCACAGUUAAUUAAUGUUGACACCAAUUUUAUUACUUAGAUAAAUAUCCUUAUGUAAAAGAAUAUUGUACUAGAAAUUAAUAUUAAGCAAAAAUACAAAUCUGAAUUUAUCCAAAGAGCUAGAACUCUAUAAUUGUGUGACAAUGACUAGAAUCAUAGCAUAUAUUCAUAAUUAACAUUUCUGUAUAAAAACUGGUAAUUGUUAAUCCAAUGUCAACAGGACAAAUAAAUGGCUAAGAUAUCAAGAAGAGAUAUUCAUUCAUAAACGGUUACUGUAAAAUAACAUGGAAUCAGUCAAGUUUGAAGUGAAACUGGUGUCUAGUUCCACACACAUUAAAACGUUCAUGAUCGCAUUAAAUUUUCCUCAUGACUGAAAAUGAAGUGCAAUGAAAUGUAGGGCAUUUUAUGGGACACAUAAUAUACUUAUCAUUUUGCCUCAAUUCGUUUUUGAACGUAUAGCACAAUUUACUCUGAAUAAGGAACAUUAAAAAUUUAACAAUUUAAUAUCAUAUAUUGCUUCUGGCAGAGAAUGUUAAAUUCUCUCACGUCCAGCAGUAAGGGUGCCAUCAAUUACAUAACACUUCAACUAAAUAUAACUUUGGGCCAAAAGUCCUUUAUUACAAAGUUUAUGAUUUCCCACAUAUUUAACAUCAUUAUAAAGAUCUGUUUUAACAUCUGAUAUAAGACCUCAUGUUUUAUAGCUUUUCCACCAAUGCUCUUGAUGUGAAAGGCACUUCUGGUUUAACAAUACCAAAUAAUUCUGAGAAUGUUAAUGCAGUGUAAUAGGCAUGCAUUACCCACAAAAUUGUUUUGUUUCACACAUAAUAGGUUCAUUUAAAUGUAUCUCAUUAGCGCAUGAAACUAAUUCUGUGAAAAGAAAAACUAUUACUUAUGUAUCAGAUACAUAAAGUAAAAGUAAAAGUAAAGUAAACAGGC